UACGUAGGGUGCGAGCGUUAAUCGGAAUUACUGGGCGUAAAGCGUGCGCAGGCGGUGAUGUAAGACAGGUGUGAAAUCCCCGGGCUUAACCUGGGAACUGCAUUUGUGACUGCAUCGCUGGAGUGCGGCAGAGGGGGAUGGAAUUCCGCGUGUAGCAGUGAAAUGCGUAGAGAUCAGGAGGAAUACCGAUGGCGAAGGCAGGUCUCUGGGCUGAUACUGACGCUCAUGCACGAAAGCGUGGGGAGCGAACAGG
rnacentral:rRNA from 1 species